rnacentral:rRNA from 1 species
AUGGAGAGUUUGAUCCUGGCUCAGGAUGAACGCUGGCGGCGUGCUUAACACAUGCAAGUCGAACGAUGAAGCCCAGCUUGCUGGGUGGAUUAGUGGCGAACGGGUGAGUAACACGUGAGUAACCUGCCCUUAACUCUGGGAUAAGCCUGGGAAACUGGGUCUAAUACCGGAUAGGAGCGUCCACCGCAUGGUGGGUGUUGGAAAGAUUUAUCGGUUUUGGAUGGACUCGCGGCCUAUCAGCUUGUUGGUGGGGUAAUGGCCUACCAAGGCGACGACGGGUAGCCGGCCUGAGAGGGUGACCGGCCACACUGGGACUGAGACACGGCCCAGACUCCU